UAAGGAAUCUUCGGCAAUGGACGGAAGUCUGACCGAGCAACGCCGCGUGAGUGAAGAAGGUUUUCGGAUCGUAAAGCUCUGUUGUAAGAGAAGAACGAGUGUGAGAGUGGAAAGUUCACACUGUGACGGUAUCUUACCAGAAAGGGACGGCUAACUACGUGCCAGCAGCCGCGGUAAUACGUAGGUCCCGAGCGUUGUCCGGAUUUAUUGGGCGUAAAGCGAGCGCAGGCGGUUAGAUAAGUCUGAAGUUAAAGGCUGUGGCUUAACCAUAGUAGGCUUUGGAAACUGUUUAACUUGAGUGCAAGAGGGGAGAGUGGAAUUCCAUGUGUAGCGGUGAAAUGCGUAGAUAUAUGGAGGAACACCGGUGGCGAAAGCGGCUCUCUGGCUUGUAACUGACGCUGAGGCUCGAAAGCGUGGGGAGCAAACAGGAUUAGAUACCCUGGUAGUCCACGCUGUAAACGAUGAGUGCUAGGUGUUAGACCCUUUCCGGGGUUUAGUGCCGUAGCUAACGCAUUAAGCACUCCGCCUGGGGAGUACGACCGCAAGGUUG
rnacentral:rRNA from 1 species